rnacentral:rRNA from 1 species
GCUCAGAUUGAACGCUGGCGGCAGGCUUAACACAUGCAAGUCGAACGGUAACAGAGAAUAGCUUGCUAUUUUGCUGACGAGUGGCGGACGGGUGAGUAAUGCUUGGGAAUAUGCCUUAUGGUGGGGGACAACAGUUGGAAACGACUGCUAAUACCGCAUAACAUCUCCGGAUCAAAGUGGGGGACCUUCGGGCCUCACGCCAUAAGAGUAGCCCAAGUGGGAUUAGCUAGUUGGUAAGGUAAUGGCUUACCAAGGCGACGAUCCCUAGUUGGUCUUAGAGGAUGACCAGCCACACUGGAACUGAGACACGGUCCAGACUCCUACGGGAGGCAGCAGUGGGGAAUAUUGCACAAUGGGCGCAAGCCUGAUGCAGCCAUGCCGCGUGUGUGAAGAAGGCUUUCGGGUUGUAAAGCACUUUCAGCGAGGAGGAAAGGUUGUACUUUAAUAGAGUGCAGCUGUGACGUUACUCGCAGAAGAAGCACCGGCUAACUCCGUGCCAGCAGCCGCGGUAAUACGGAGGGUGCGAGCGUUAAUCGGAAUUACUGGGCGUAAAGCGCGCGUAGGUGGUUAAUUAAGUCAGAUGUGAAAUCCCAGGGCUCAACCUUGGAACUGCAUUUGAAACUGGUUGACUAGAGUUUUGUAGAGGGUGGUAGAAUUUCAGGUGUAGCGGUGAAAUGCGUAGAGAUCUGAAGGAAUACCAGUGGCGAAGGCGGCCACCUGGACAAAGACUGACACUGAGGCGCGAAGGCGUGGGGAGCAAACGGGAUUAGAUACCCCGGUAGUCCACGCAGUAAACGAUGUCUAUUAGAAUUUUGUGGCUAUAUGCCGUGGGAUUCAAAGCUAACGCAUUA